UACGAAGGGGGGCUAGCGUUGCUCGGAAUCAUUGGGCGUAAAGGGUGCGUAGGCGGCGCGGUAAGUCGGGUGUGAAAUCUCGGAGCUUAACUCCGAAACUGCAUUCGAUACUGCCGUGCUUGAGGACUGGAGAGGAGACUGGAAUUUACGGUGUAGCGGUGAAGUGCGUAGAUAUCGUAAGGAAGACCAGUGGCGAAGGCGGGUCUCUGGACAGUUCCUGACGCUGAGGCACGAAGGUCAGGGGAGCAAACGGG
rnacentral:rRNA from 1 species